rnacentral:rRNA from 1 species
CCGCAUACGACCUUCGGAUCGCAUGGUCUGAAGAUGAAAGAUGGCCUCUCUUUGAAGCUGUCGUUGAAGGAUGGUUCCGCCUCCAAUUAGCUAGUUGGUGGGGUAAUGGCCUACCAAGGCGACGAUUGGUAGCCGGCCUGAGAGGGUGUCCGGCCACACUGGGACUGAGAUACGGCCCAGACUCCUACGGGAGGCAGCAGUCGAGAAGCUUCCGCAAUGGGGGAAACCCUGACGGAGCGACGCCGCGUGAACGAAGAAGGUCCUAUGGAUUGUAAAGUUCUGUCAGAUUGGGAAGAAAACCUUGGGGUUAAUACCCUCAAGGCUUGACGGUACCAUCAGAGGAAGCACCGGCUAACUCCGUGCCAGCAGCCGCGGUAAUACGGAGGGUGCAAGCGUUGUUCGGAUUCACUGGGUAUAAAGGGUGCGCAGGCGGCUUGAUAAGUCAGAGGUGAAAUAUGUCGGCUCAACCGGCAAACGGCCCCUGAAACUGUCAAGCUUGAGUCCGGGAGAGGUAGGUGGAAUUCCAGGUGUAGCGGUGAAAUGCGUAAAUAUCUGGAGGAACACCGGUGGCGAAGGCGGCCUACUGGCCCGGAACUGACGCUCAGGCACGAAAGCAUGGGGAGCGAACGGGAUUAGAUACCCCGGUGGUCCAUGCCGUAAACGAUGGGUACUAGGUGUUGGAGGAUUCUACCCCUUCAGUGCCGCAGCUAACGCAUUAAGUACCCCACCUGGGGAGUACGAUCGCAAGGUUGAAACUCAAAGGAAUUGACGGGGGCCCGCACAAGCGGUGGAGCAUGUGGUUUAAUUCGAUGCAACGCGAAGAACCUUACCUGGGCUUGACAUGCAGGGGACAGAUGUAGAAAUACAUCCUUCUUCGGACUCCUGUACAGGUGCUGCAUGGCUGUCGUCAGCUCGUGUCGUGAAAUGUUAGGUUAAGUCCUGCAACGAGCGCAACCCCUAUCUUUAGUUGCCAUCAGGUUAUGCUGGGGACUCUAGAGAGACUGCCGGUGACAAACCGGAGGAAGGUGGGGACGACGUCAAGUCAUCAUGGCCCUUACGCCCAGGGCUACACACGUGCUACAAUGGUCGGUACAAUGGGCUGCAAUACAGCGAUGUGGAGCGAAUCCCAAAAAGCCGGCCUCAGUUCGGAUCGUAGUCUGCAACUCGACUACGUGAAGUUGGAAUCGCUAGUAAUCGCGUAUCAGAACGACGCGGUGAAUACGUUCCCGGGCCUUGUACG